CCUACGGGAAAGCAGCAGUAGGGAAUCUUCCACAAUGGACGAAAGUCUGAUGGAGCAACGCCGCGUGAGUGAUGAAGGUUUUCGGAUCGUAAAACUCUGUUGUAAGGGAAGAACACGUACGAGAGGGAAUGCUCGUACCUUGACGGUACCUUACGAGAAAGCCACGGCUAACUACGUGCCAGCAGCCGCGGUAAUACGUAGGUGGCAAGCGUUGUCCGGAAUUAUUGGGCGUAAAGCGCGCGCAGGCGGCCUUUUAAGUCUGAUGUGAAAGCCCCCGGCUCAACCGGGGAGGGCCAUUGGAAACUGGAAGGCUUGAGUACAGAAGAGAAGAGUGGAAUUCCACGUGUAGCGGUGAAAUGCGUAGAGAUGUGGAGGAACACCAGUGGCGAAGGCGACUCUUUGGUCUGUAACUGACGCUGAGGCGCGAAAGCGUGGGGAGCAAACAGGAUUAGAUACCCUGGUAGUCCACGCCGUAAACGAUGAGUGCUAGGUGUUGGGGGGUUUCCGCCCCUCAGUGCUGAAGCUAACGCAUAAGCACUCCGCAUGGGAGACC
rnacentral:rRNA from 1 species